AACGAACGCUGGCGGCAUGCCUAACACAUGCAAGUCGAACGAGACCUUCGGGUCUAGUGGCGCACGGGUGCGUACCGCGUGGGAACCUGCCUUUAGGUUCGGAAUCACUCAGAGAAAUUUGAGCUAAUACCGGAUGAUGUCUUCGGACCAACGACUUAUCGCCUUUAGAUGUGCCCGCGUUGGAUUAGCUAGUUGGUGGGGUAAAGGCCUACCAAGGCGACGACCCAUAGCUGGUCUGAGAGGAUGAUCAGCCACACUGGAACUGAGACACGGCCCAGACUCCGACGGGAGGCAGCAGGAGGGAAUAUAGGACAAUCGGCGAAAGCAUGACACAGCAAUGCCGCGUGAGUGAUGAAGGCCUUAGGGUUGGAAAGCUCUUUUAACCGAGAUGAUAAUGACAGUAUCGGGAGAAUAAGCUCCGGCUAACUCCGUG
rnacentral:rRNA from 1 species